UUCUUCUUUCUGACGCCCCCGAGGCGUCCAAAUAGAGUCACUGAUUUACCCAGAUACCAUUGGAAGAAAAAUUGUGAUUGGUCCAUUUCCAUUCCAUUAUAUUAACCCUUUGUUUCCCAAGAAAUAUUAGUCCAAGUUUAUAACGAUCUAGAAAUUAUUACUAGUGCAGGGUUUAUUACUCACUGAAUAAAAAAUAUAUUAGUUGUACAAAAAUUAAUUCAAUAUUUUUUUCUUGGGCCUUCACUGAAUACCUUGAAGACCCUGAGGGUUCAACUCUGCAACAAAGCAGCGUGGACAACAGUGGCACUGACAGUGCUUUACAGUGUUCUGUCGAAAUGAGCUAUCGGCAGCCUAACACUAACAUGCGACGACAUCGACUCAAUCCCAUGCAUGAUGCAUGUGACCAUGCAGCCAUUGCCAGGGACAAGACUCAAAUGCUGGACGUGAAAUACAUCAGUCCUCAAAAAGGUGAUGAUCCCACUUGCAGCCUUGAAAAUGUGCCUUCUACCAGUGAGUGUCCAACUUGUGCCACUCAGGUAACAUAAUCACUCUUUACCUGUUCUGGGAAUCAUAUUGUGAAGCAGAAUUUGACUUUCAUUUGACAGACAUUAAUUUGAUUUAAUUUCAUUUUUGACAUGUUUGACAGCCAAUAAUUUCCUUAUCGUUUUUUUUUUUUAUUUUUUUUUCCCAUUUUUAUUCCAUUUGUGUUCACUAACCCCUAACAGGUUUCCCUCUGAGAUUAGCACAGAAUCUCAUCUCUAUCAUUCACUGAUUUAGCAGUCAAUCACUUAACAUUAAUCUAUGGAGGCACUUAUACUGGACUGACUUAGGGUUAAAAUGGGGAUAAACCUGGAACUAUUGCCCUGAUAACAAGCAUACAUCAAAGGCUAGGGCCACAGUUACAGCACUGGUGCUUACAUCUUAUGUCGAGUUAGUUGCUAUGGUUUUUGUUCUGCUUACUGUAACCUGGCUGUAGGUAAACUAUUGCUAACUAGAUACUUAGCUGCUAUUUUGAAUUACAUGCUACUAUUACUACAGCAUACUUGGAGAGAGAGAAGGUAACGCAGGGAGAAACCAUUCUAGCCCUCUCACUAGAGAGGUUGUUUGUGUGUCUGUGAGCAUUACUUAUUUAGCCUACAUAACAUUAGCUAUUGGUGUACUUUCUAGCCUAAUGUUUUUUUUUUUUACAUUUUGUCUUACAGUCUAUGCUAUCUUUGCUUUCACUUGUCCCCCAAAUUAAUGCUUUCUUGGAGAUCAGCUUGUGUCUUACAAUCCUAUUAUAAAGCUAAGUGUAUGCUGGGCCUUUAUGGCCUCUAUCGGUUGGUCCCCACAACUGAUGUUUUAUUCUAACUCAUUUAGCUUGUAUUAAUGCCGAUUGUGUGCAGGACUGCUUCAGAUUCCUGCAGUUGGUCCCCACAACUGUGCGUGUGUAGGACUUUCAGUUGGUCCCCACAACAGAUGUUUUAUUCUACUUCAGCUUGCUAUGAAUUGUUUG